CAAACGACUCUGGNAACGGNUNUUUGGUUUCUCGCAUNNAUNAAAAACGUACGAAAUGCGAUACUUGGUGUGAAUUGCAGAAUCCCGUGAAUCAUCGAGUCUUUGAACGCAAGUUGCGCCCGAAGCCAUUAGGCCGAGGGCACGUCUGCCUGGGCGUCACGC
rnacentral:rRNA from 1 species